rnacentral:rRNA from 1 species
AUUGAACGCUGGCGGCAUGCCUUACACAUGCAAGUCGAACGGCAGCACGGGAGCAAUCCUGGUGGCGAGUGGCGAACGGGUGAGUAAUGCAUCGGAACGUGCCCAGUCGUGGGGGAUAACGCAGCGAAAGCUGUGCUAAUACCGCAUACGAUCUGUGGAUGAAAGCGGGGGACCGAAAGGCCUCGCGCGAUUGGAGCGGCCGAUGUCAGAUGAGGUAGUUGGUGGGGUAAAGGCUCACCAAGCCAACGAUCUGUAGCUGGUCUGAGAGGACGACCAGCCACACUGGGACUGAGACACGGCCCAGACUCCUACGGGAGGCAGCAGUGGGGAAUUCUGGACAAUGGGCGCAAGCCUGAUCCAGCAAUGCCGCGUGCAGGAAGAAGGCCUUCGGGUUGUAAACUGCUUUUGUACGGAGCGAAAAGGCUCUCUCUAAUACGGGGGGCUCAUGAUGGUACCGUAAGAAUAAGCACCGGCUAACUACGUGCCAGCAGCCGCGGUAACAC